rnacentral:misc_RNA from 1 species
AUGGCUUCGUCAUUUCUCCCUCGUGCUCUUUCCCACUCCCGCCCCCUUCCGGACGGCGCGGAUAACUGUUGGCGUCUCCACCAGGCUGGGGCCCUUCCGUCGCUUCUCUUCCCAUCGGCGCCCACGCUUCAGCUGCUUAUCCCCCUCCCCCUUCCCUUCCCCCUCACCUCUAUACCAGCACGCAAGCAAACGCAAGAUGCUGAGUAAUGUGCCAGAAGAGUCUGAGAAGCUGGUGCGAGAGGUCAGCGACCUCGCAGAGGCCUUCAUCACAAAUCUGAAGCGCGGAAAGCUCGCCGCCGCGCGCAGUGGCGAGGAGAGUCUCUCCACGGCGGCCGCAGUGGAGAUGGCAGAUGUAAUGUCGACCAUCGUGCGUCUCUUCCAGAAUGCCGAGAAAGACCCGCACAGCACAACAAUACAGCUGCUUAAGGCCGGCUACCCGGCGGCCGAGGUGGCGAGCAUGCAAGUCAGCCGCCUUCUCAUUCUCGUUGCUCGCACCGGUGAUGCGAUGCUGCGAGCACAGUUUGCCACGCUCUUUCUCAUGAACGUCACGCGUCGCGUGCUUUCCAUCGUGCGGGAGUCCGCCGCCAACAGCAAGGCCACCGACGCGGAGCUCGAAGAUGAGGCCAAGACAAUACUGAACGAUCUCGCCUCAGAUGACGAGGCAGCGGUGGUUGAAACCCCUGCCGACACUAGUUCGAGCUCCAGCAACAGGUACGGCAUGGACGACUCCGCAGAUCCGGUCAACCCGUCCCUGUCAGCCAAGGGCAUGAAGCCGGCUCUCAAGAGGGAUACUCUCGUCUCUCAGCCUCUCCCUCGCCGCGGACUCUCGGUGCGCUUCGCUGGCACCUCCAACAGCUCCGAGGAGGCGAGCGGUGGCCACAUGCGCCAGCUGCAGCAGCACAGCACGUCGGUGGCUAGUGACUUUGGGGGGCCGCUGCUGCAGCACACCGGCUCGAUAGUGGCGACGGAGAUACCGGGCCGGCAGCUGCUGAAGCGCGCGCCGAGCCGCUGUGAGCAAGUGCUGGAGGCGGGCGGCGGGGAGAUUGAGUUCCCGGUGCGCAUGGAGAUCUUUUACCAGGACGCCCUGGACGCCAUCGACGAGUUCAAGCGGGAGCUAGAGGGGAUGACCGAGGAGCUGUGUCGCCGUUCCACGCGGCAGCUGCACUCGUCGGACACGAUCAUCACGCUGGGGUGCAGUCAUACCAUCCGCCGCUACCUGCUGGAAGCUGCUCAAGCGGGGCACCACUUCAAAGUCUUCAUCCUUGAGGGUGCACCGCUGCCGGCGCAGGCGACGCAGGAGUUUGCGGAGGCGCUGUGCAGUCGCGGCAUCACUGCGCAGCUGUUGCCAGACAGCUCCGCCUACGUGGUCAUGAGCAUGUGCACCAAGGUGCUGGUUGGUGCCGAGAACGUCUUGGCCAACGGCGGCAUGCUCGCAUCCAUCGGCACCCACGUCCUCUGCGCCGCUGCUCGCCACUUUGCUGUCCCCGUGCUGGUCGCCACCACAACGCUGAAGAUGUCGCCGUACUAUCCAAGCGACCAGCUGUGCACGCGGCUGGUGCGCAUUGCACGGUCGGGGGCGCAGGAGAUGCCAUGGUCGACCUACGGCUCCCCCGAGGAUGUGUGGCCCUCGCCGUUUGGCGUCUCCGUCUCCGACAGCGGCCGCCGCUUGACCAUCCACGCCCCCGUCACGGAGUACGUGCCGCCCGAGCUCAUUACGUUGUUUUUAACUAACGACAGCGAGCUGUUGCCCUCGCAGAUCCACCGCAUUGUGCGGGCGAACUACAGCGACGCAGAUUGAAGCCAGCCUUGGCGUGUCUCGGUUUUGGUUUUUUGUUUGUGUAUGUGUGUGUGUGUGUGUGUGUGCAGACGGUCGGUAGCUGCAGAUGUGGGAGUGCCUCGACGUCUGUCUCAGUGUGCACGCGCCUGGGUGGUAGAGAGGGAGGCGGGGCGGUGUGUGGGAGAAUUUGUGUGCGCCCUUCUUCACUGGCGCUGUCACGCUUCGCGCGUUCGAUUUCUUUCGUGUUCGCGGCUAAGCUGGAGCCAUGGCGGUGAUUAAGCAGGGAGAGGGAAGAAUAGGGAGGGAGGGCGUGCCGCGCUCGUGCGCACGGACACAAAUACUAGAGUUACGGCAACGUGCUGUACACGCACGUUGCAUUCUCUGAUUCUCUCUCCCUUCUUUUCGUUCUCUCUCGUCCUGCGUGUGGUUACGUGUAUGUUUGUUGUAUGUAGACGUGUGUGGACGUGCUGUGGCUAUCCUGUGGCAUUGGCCACACUGUCGAGGUCGAUC